rnacentral:rRNA from 1 species
UACGUAGGGCGCAAGCGUUGUCCGGGAUUAUUGGGCGUAAAGAGCUCGUAGGCGGUUUGUCGCGUCUGCUGUGAAAACCUAAGGCUCAACCUUGGGCUUGCAGUGGGUACGGGCAGACUAGAGUGCGGUAGGGGUGACUGGAAUUCCUGGUGUAGCGGUGGAAUGCGCAGAUAUCAGGAGGAACACCGAUGGCGAAGGCAGCUCGCUGGGACGGUACUGACGCUGAGGCGCGAAAGCGUGGGGAGCAAACAGG